AUCGAGAAAAAGCAUUUAGGCAAUGUAACUGUAAGAUCGCGCGCGCGCACACACACACACAGGCAUGCAUGAGUGCAUGUGUGUGUGUGUGUGGCUUUGCUUGUUUUAAGUAGAAGAAAAAGGGGAGGGAGUGUGAGGGGGAUGGGGCAUUACAAUUAAGGGAGCAAAAGGAGCCGAAAAUACAAAUCGAUAGGAGAGAGAUACAUAGUGAGAGUGAGGUGAAGUGAGUGAAGUGAGGUGAGUGAAAGUGAGUAGGUGAGAAAAGGUGAGAUAAAUGGUGUAACUAAGGGGAAUAAGGGUGAAACGAGUUGGAAUGUGCAAAUAAAGUGAGUUACAAAGGGUGGAGUAGUUGUCUAUGGGUGAUAAAGAAAGAAGGAGGUAAGAAGUGUAGAUACGACACAAAGAGGGUACGAAAUACAGUACACAAGGGUAGAUAAAUAGACAGACGAACAGGGGGACGAAAAAUGCUACCGACACAGUGAGAUAAUAAUUGCGAAAUAAUAACCAAAAGUAAGUUCAAUAAAACCAUAACCUUCCGCGAGAGAGAGAGAGUGAUCUGAAGUGAGGCUAAGCUUUUUGAAUGGAAUCAAUUUUCGAAGUCCGUGUUGUUGUUUGAUUCUUCGCAACUAUCUCAUUUACAAUAUAGCACGUUAACAUCCACUUGAUAUGUGGCAAUGUGGCAGUGUUUUUCAUUGCGAUUUUGAUUGUUUCAACCACGCGUGUGCCACGUGCUCCGAGACUUGAGCCACCAUGCGUCUCCACCCGUGGCCGGGGAAAAUGGUGUGAAAGCAGAAUUUUGGUCAGCGCUUGUUGCGUGUGAGUAAGUUAGUACCGUUUCCGCUUGGUUGGAUUAUUGUUUUAGGCGCAAGAAGCGCAAGGAUGAGAGCAUGGAUACGAUUAGGAGGAGGGGGCGGAGACUGGUAAAUGAAAUGAAAAAAACAAACAAAAGACGAAAAAGCAUGCAACACAAAGAUCACACAUAAAUUGGCCGAUGAUCGAACAGAAGAAGAAGAAGAAGAAGAAGAUCAGAAACCAAACCAAAAUGCUUGCGCGUUGGAGGAGCCUCUUUUACUUUGUUUUCGUUUCGUUUUGCUUUGGUGCUUCAAUUGGAGUACGAUCUGGUACGGUUCGGGAAGAUGGAUGUCUGAAUCACAGUUUUUAGUACACACACACCUUUCUUGAAUCUUAUUCCUUUUUUGUUUUGUUUUUUUUUAUGAAUUUCUUUUUGUGGUCUUUUCUCGUUAUUUUUCUACUUUUCAUGUGUACCAUUUUAGCUCGCUAUAUUUGUAGCACAGCUUCCUCCUUCUAUCGGAGGUAUGGAAGCUAGCAUAAGAGUUGGAUCGCGAAGAGUGCAAAAGAUUGGCGAUGGCCUCAAAUAAACAGAAAAUUGUACAAACUCACGAGCGAACAUCGAAGUGUAGAGGGGAGUAAAAGGGGGAGCGAGAGUUGAGGAGGAAAGAAAAAUAAUAACAAAACAAAAUACACACACAGAGAAGUAGUGAAAAAGAGAGAGA